rnacentral:rRNA from 1 species
GACGAACGCUGGCGGCGUGCUUAACACAUGCAAGUCGAACGGAAAGGCCCUGCUUUUGUGGGGUGCUCGAGUGGCGAACGGGUGAGUAACACGUGAGUAACCUGCCCUUGACUUUGGGAUAACUUCAGGAAACUGGGGCUAAUACCGGAUAGGAGCUCCUGCUGCAUGGCGGGGGUUGGAAGGUUUCGGCGGUUGGGGAUGGACUCGCGGCUUAUCAGCUUGUUGGUGGGGUAGUGGCUUACCAAGGCUUUGACGGGUAGCCGGCCUGAGAGGGUGACCGGCCACAUUGGGACUGAGAUACGGCCCAGACUCCUACGGGAGGCAGCAGUGGGGAAUAUUGCACAAUGGGCGGAAGCCUGAUGCAGCAACGCCGCGUGCGGGAUGACGGCCUUCGGGUUGUAAACCGCUUUCGCCUGUGACGAAGCAUGAGUGACGGUAAUGGGUAAAGAAGCACCGGCUAACUACGUG